GACGUAGGGCGCGAGCGUUGUCCGGAUUAUUGGGCGUAAAGAGCUCGUAGGCGGCUUGUCGCGUCGACUGUGAAAUCCCGCGGCUCAACCGCGGGUCUGCAGUCGAUACGGGCAGGCUAGAGUUCGGUAGGGGAGACUGGAAUUCCUGGUGUAGCGGUGAAAUGCGCAGAUAUCAGGAGGAACACCGGUGGCGAAGGCGGGUCUCUGGGCCGAUACUGACGCUGAGGAGCGAAAGCGUGGGGGAGCGAACAGG
rnacentral:rRNA from 1 species